UACGGGGGGGGGCAAGCGUUGUCCGGAAUUAUUGGGCGUAAAGAGCUCGUAGGCGGUGUGUCGCGUCGGCCGUGAAAACCUGCAGCUUAACUGUGGGCUUGCGGUCGAUACGGGCAUCACUGGAGUUCGGCAGGGGAGUCUGGAAUUCCUGGUGUAGCGGUGAAAUGCGCAGAUAUCAGGAGGAACACCGGUGGCGAAGGCGGGACUCUGGGCCGAUACUGACGCUGAGGAGCGAAAGCGUGGGGGAGCAAACAGG
rnacentral:rRNA from 1 species